rnacentral:snRNA from 1 species
AGCUUUGUGCAGUGGCAGUAUCGUAGCCAAUGAGGUUUAUCCGAGGCGCGAUUAUUGCUAAUUGAAAAAAACUAGAAGGCAAAAUUUAAAAAGAAAAGUUUUAUCUUUUGAAGUUGUGGCCACU